rnacentral:rRNA from 1 species
CCUACGGGAGGCAGCAGUGGGGAAUAUUGCACAAUGGGCGGAAGCCUGAUGCAGCGACGCCGCGUGAGGGAUGAAGGCCUUCGGGUUGUAAACCUCUUUCAGCAGGGACGAAGCGUGAGUGACGGUACCUGCAGAAGAAGCACCGGCUAACUACGUGCCAGCAGCCGCGGUAAUACGUAGGGUGCGAGCGUUGUCCGGAAUUACUGGGCGUAAAGAGUUCGUAGGCGGUUUGUCGCGUCGUUUGUGAAAACCCGGGGCUCAACUUCGGGCUUGCAGGCGAUACGGGCAGACUUGAGUGUUUCAGGGGAGACUGGAAUUCCUGGUGUAGCGGUGAAAUGCGCAGAUAUCAGGAGGAACACCGGUGGCGAAGGCGGGUCUCUGGGAAACAACUGACGCUGAGGAACGAAAGCGUGGGUAGCAAACAGGAUUAGAUACCCUGGUAGUCCACGCCGUAAACGGUGGGCGCUAGGUGUGGGUUCCUUCCACGGGAUCUGUGCCGUAGCUAACGCAUUAAGCGCCCGCCUGGGGAUACGGCCGCAAGGCUAAAACUCAAAGGAAUUGACGG